UACAGAGGGUGCGAGCGUUGUUCGGAAUUAUUGGGCGUAAAGCGUCCGCAGGUGGCGAUUCAAGUCUGCGGUCAAAGACUGGGGCUUAACCCUGGAAAGGCCGUGGAAACUGAAAAGCUAGAGUGCAGUAGGGGUAGAGGGAAUUCCCGGUGUAGCGGUGAAAUGCGUAGAGCUCGGGAAGAACAUCGGUGGCGAAAGCGCUCUGCUGGACUGCAACUGACACUCAGGGACGAAAGCUAGGGGAGCGAAUGGG
rnacentral:rRNA from 1 species